rnacentral:lncRNA from 1 species
AGAUGGGCCGGGUUUGCCUGGCAGCACUGACAGGGAUAGGGAAUGUCAGGUGUGAGAGAGAUCUCACACCCCCAGCCCGCUGACCAAGCAGCAACCCUAUCUGUCGCCCCCUUCCCAGCGCAGAGGAACCGCCUCCCUGCAUACUUGAAAUCUUCCUGAAUGAAGAGCAGAGCCAUGUUUCAUAGUUUGGGUGAUUGAGAAAGAAGCAUGAAUUCUUCUAAAAUCAAGAGACACUAGCCUAAGAGCAAUGCAUCCUGAAUAAGGAGCCCCCCGCAAACAUGUGACAGGUUUGGUCACCUGUGCCCUUCUCCUUGAGACUGGAAACCCCAGUCUCUCUCUGCUGGGACUACCACAGUCUUGAGAUACAGGCCAACAAGGACAAGUUUGUGUCUAUGUAAAGAAACAUCUAGCAAAACCUCAAUAAUUUGAAAUAAAUUUGCACUAAGUUAUGGAGCCCAGUGGUUUUAGGGAAUAUCAGAAAUCAUUAAUGACUGUCUUUGAAGUGCACAUGUACAUAAACCAACAAGCUGAUCUUUUCAGUUUUUAAGACAGAGUCUCUCUGUGACUCAUUUAGAAUUUGGUAUGUAGGUUCAUUAGCUUCAAACUUCCAGUCCUCCUGCCUCGGCCUCCCACGAACGCGUGCACACGUGUGUAUACGUCAGAAGUUGGUAAAUGGUUUUCCUCUCUCUGUUUUAAGCAUCUAUUAAUGACCUUGGAACCCAGAACUUGUCGCUUGACAUUUUGGCUACACUGUCUGGACAGCAAGGCCCCAGUUCAGCCUAUGUCUGCCCUCUAACUCACACCCUCACUGGAAUUAUAUACUGUGCCACCAUGCCUGGCUAAGACUUUGAUGUGACAAGUCCCAGCUGAGGUGGACCAGCCUGUGGGGACUCAGGACUCUCUGCGUAGGUUUCUGAACUACCACAGAGGAUGUCCCUGUGGGUGAGAGGUUUAAGAGAACCUUGCUGCCCAAACUGUGGUUCACAGAUCUGGGGCAUCAACAGCACCAAGGAAUCAGGGACAAGCGCUGUAGCAUCCCUGGGCCUUGGGAUCCUCCCUGCAGCAUCCUUCAAAUCAGCACCUGCAGUUCAAGGGUCCCUGGUAGCCAGCCAGCCUGCAAGCCUUCAGAAGCUCAACUGCAGCAGGCAAAUGUAAGACGCAGAGAACCGUUACCCACCAACCUGAUCCUACCCCAUCCAGAAUCCUCACAACUCUGUAAUACAAAGAACACUUUAAUACAUAUACAUUAUAUACAUACAUAUUAUAUUAAACAAUAUUAUACACACAUAUAUUUAUAUAUUGUUUAGAUAAUAUUUGUUUAUAAUAUAUAAACAAUAUAUAAAAAUUGUUUUAAAUGUAAG